ensembl:lncRNA
CCGUGACAGACCCCUGGGGCAGCUCCAAAGCCACUUAGCACAGGCAUGGAGCGGGGCCAGGAGGAGAUGCUGGCACCAAAAGAGCAGCUCUAGCAAGUCUAGCGCACCAUUCUGCUAGGGGACAGGUUCGGAUGGGCUCAGACCCCAGCAGCACACAGCUCCCACUUGUGCAGCGCUCUGACCGCCAGCCCUGGGGACAGCACGAGCCUCGUGCUCCCUGCACAGAAGAGCACACGCUGCGUGUGAGCCUCAGAAACCAUCUGUUAGUGACACAAAAACAUGCUGGCAGCGCUCAGCACCGCUUGGCAGGGAAACCUGUAUCAACUGUCUGCAGGCCAAGGUCUAAAGGGCAGUCCACCUCUGGAGACUUCUGCAGCUUUGAGGAGCUCUCAUCUUGCAGCUGGUGGGUGCCCUCGCAGCACAUAGCCCUGGCAGUGCUGCUCCAUGCCUUGAGUGUGCCCCAGGAGGACCAGGGAGGAGAGCAAAUGGAGCACCCCGAGAGCUUUCUCCCAUACUGCAAUAACUUUAGGAAGCAGAAGCUAGAAGCUCCUUCUCUUCCUGUUGCUGGGGAGCAGGUCCCAACCUCCUGGUCCAGGCGAUGUGCUGCAGGUGCUGGGGAUGCAGAGGAAGGCUGGGGAGGACAGCUGUUCCCCAGACAUUUAUGGUGGUAACUGCUUAUUUUGAACUAUGAAUUUGAACAGAAACUGUCAUGAAUCUUUAGCGAUCUCCACCAAACCAUAAUUUUCAGGCAGAAAAUGAAUAUACAUUGGAAGAAACACUCCAGCUGUGAGUGCCUCAGCAAAGCAAUUAACGAGGGCAGAGCCUCACUGCCAGCGCAGCCCGCUCUGUUCUGGGGCUGCUGAGCCCUUCUCCUGCUCCUCUUUCUCCCCAUCGCUCUGCUUAUUGUUUGCUUCAUUGUUAAUCCUACCUAAUUUAAAAAUAGGAAAUUGAUUUCUUACGUAUCCAUUACAAAUCAAAUCAUUUCUUUAUUACAGCAAGGAUCAUAUUUCAUAAGCAAGUCAUGGAAAAUUAAAACCAUGCCUGUUGCUUUGAUGAAAUAAAGGAGAGAAACGCUGGAGGGAAGGCACUGACAGCUGGGGGCUGUCAUGCAACCAGCGGUGCAGUUUAACUCUUUGCAGUACCCACAGCUCCUGCAGCUGCAUUUUCCUCCCACAGACUCUCACUGGUAGUCCUAAGCACCCCAUUACUGCUAAAACUCCAAAGCCUGUAACAGAGGGAGAGCAGCUCCUUGGAACAAAGCAGGGCAGUGGUUUUGAUGCUGCAGAUGAUUUUGCUAGCAGGUUUGCAGCAUGCCUGUGUGCCCAUGCAGAUGUUUCCCAGUGCUAACACUACUGACAUUAGGUACCAGAUAGUGCUGCUGCAGUGCACACAACGUAGGAACCCACUCACCAGCCCCCUGUUAGCACCACAGCCCUCACAGCACACACCGUUCCAGCAAGCAGAAGGAGAACCACCUUUGUCUGAGGACAGAUCUGGUCAGACCACACAUGGGUUAUGUCAGGACAGCAGGGCAGACCUGCAGCUCAUCAGCAGCAUGCUGUGACUUGGCACAGAUGGGGAAUUAAAACAAAAUCCGUUGUAUGCAUCACCAGGGAUUUAUGGACUGCUCUAUGAACCUCCCAGUGAAGAAGACAGGACAUUGGUGCUCUGAGAACUAAUCCAGAUAAGCACUGUGGCUAGCAGGGCAUUGCAACAUCCAACCCAAAGUUCAUCAGCUCCGUCAUUACCACGCUGAUCUCCAGGCACUGCGGUCAAAGAAACAAAGCCUCUAAUUUCCCUAUCAGAAAGGAAAAGAUCAGCGAUUUUAUCUCCGCACAGUAUGUUUUCAACAGUUAUCAAUGCACUGUGCCUGAGGACAAGGGAUGAGCAGGGCUGUCAGAACCACAGGAGGCAAACCACACGAGAGAAGAGUGGCAGCAGGGAUCUCUCUGGAGCAGCAGUCCAUCCCUGGGAGCACAGCCUUCUAAGCCAGAAACGAUUUUCCCUCACUUUGGGAUAAUACCUCCAUUUUGAAGCAAGCAAGCAGGAUUCUGAACCACAGGCUGUGUCUGUGCUCAGGGCUUUGGUGUCCCUUCUGGAAGCUCAGGCUGGUGAGACUGUCAUACCGAAGCAUACCAACAGAGAGGGCUGGAAACACUCCCACCUCACCCAGCCCUUCCCUGGGAGUUGGCCAGGGCGGCGCUUGUGUCCUGACAGCUUUGUUACAAAGAGCUUCUGAAGCAGCCGGCCAAAAAGUCCAUCUAAAUCUCCUGAUGGUCCUUUUGUGCCGAUGGUCAGAACUGGAAAACAAGCUUUGUACGUUGGUGGGAGCGGAGGAAACGGGCACCUUCCAGGAACACCCCAUGCUGGCCCUUCUGCCCACCAAAGGGUCAUCAAAAACCACAUCCCUGGGAGAAGCGUGCUCUGUACUCCUUGCUGCCAGCUUCUCCACUGGCCGCUGUUAUGUGGAGCCAACUUAUAAAGAUCCCAAGAAGCAGUCUGUGUAAUUACUGCCAAUUACCACCACACAGCUCCACACUGCCUGGAAUGGCCCCUGCAGGGUUCUCCUGUGCAAAGGCAUUUCAGUUCUGGCAAGUAUUUAUUUUGAUGAUGUGUUUGAUAAAAUAGCCCCUCCCCCAAAAUAUCAGGAACACGGAAACAUGCAUUUGCACUCGCACAACAGAGCAGCCUCACCCCACUAAUAUUUUAAUGGAACCACUGGAUGUUUUCAUUAGCUGCAUUUGACACUAUGACAGCAACAAUAACUGACAGACAGAAACUGAGACAAGACACAGUAAUUAGGUCAAACCUUCGGGACAGAGCUGUCAUCACAAGACAUAAACGUGCAUUUCUUUCCCACUGUCAAAGCUCCAUAAGCCAUCUUCUUGCUACGGGUUGUCUAUGCAGGAUAAAGACUUGGAAGCAACAAGGGUCAUUCUCCCUUUUGCUAUUCUUCACAGCUAUCCUGUGUUUAAUUGAUCUGGAUUAAUUAUUUAAGGUAAAUUCAGCUUUCCUGACCUAAUGGCAACAUGUCAACUGAUUAAGUUUACAAAGCCAGCAAAAUGAUCUGUGCAGUGAGGCCAGCUCCCAGCAUGUGUUAUUGAG